AACGAAUCAAGUAUAAAGAAAAAGUGUAAUUUGGAUGCAAGGUAUGAUUUGUUUUACCGGAGGAUGAUCAAGCUCAACGAGGAAUCGAACACAAUCAAGAUUCUAGCUUCCGCGUUAUGAUUCGUCGUCACGUUUUUAAGCGGCGAAUGUUUUUUAUAAAAUGUUGACUUGUUUUAUUUCUUAAAAGUUUUUAAGAAAUAUGUAUUUUGUAAAAUAUGUGUAAGCGGAUUUACACAAUUAUAGUUGACAACUAUAUGAAAAUCGUAAUAGUCAACCAAGGGUCUUACAAGUUGGUAA